rnacentral:rRNA from 1 species
CACGUGCUAACAAGUGGCGGUACAAAGGGCUGCGAACCCGCGAGGGGGAGCGAAUCCCAAAAAGCCGCUCUCAGUUCGGAUUGCAGGCUGCAACUCGCCUGCAUGAAGCCGGAAUCGCUAGUAAUCGCGGAUCAGCAUGCCGCGGUGAAUACGUUCCCGGGCCUU